UCCUGGCUUAGGACGAACGCUGGCGGCGUGCCUAACACAUGCAAGUCGAGCGGGGACUGUACGACGGAUUUGAAGAUUCGGUUGGAUAUGAAGAUGUACAGUUCUAGCGGCGGACGGGUGAGUAACGCGUGAGCAACCUGUCCCUUACAGGGGGAUAACACAGCGAAAGUUGUACUAAUACCGCAUAAGACCACGGAUUCACAUGGAUCAGGGGUCAAAAGGAGGAAUCCGGUAAGGGGUGGGCUCGCGUCCGAUUAGAUAGUUGGUGAGGUAACGGCCCACCAAGUCGACGAUCGGUAGCCGACCUGAGAGGGUGAUCGGCCACAUUGGGACUGAGACACGGCCCAAACUCCUACGGGAGGCAGCAGUGGGGAAUAUUGGGCAAUGGGGGGAACCCUGACCCAGCAACGCCGCGUGAGGGAAGAAGGUUUUCGGAUCGUAAACCUCUGUCCUAUGUGAAGAGGAAGAGACGGUAGCAUAGGAGGAAGCCCCGGCUAACUACGUGCCAGCCGCUGC
rnacentral:rRNA from 1 species